AAAGGGAGACCUAAUUCAGGUAUGGGACGAAAAAAAAGUAGUCGCUACCAAGAAUCAAUCCCAAAAGGUCGGAGCGAGGUAUGAGGCUUUCAAACUAGGUUCUGGGUUCACAGAAGACCUGAAUCAGGAACAAGGGCUAUUAGCUCAGGUGGUUAGAGCGCACCCCUGAUAAGGGUGAGGUCCCUGGUUCGAGUCCAGGAUGGCCCACCUGCACAGGUGGCAAAAAAAAGAAAAGAAGCGAGGAAUCAGCACCUUAUCUUAUCUAUAUAUAAGAGAGAAUGCUGGCUCUGAGUACAGAGUCCAGAGGAACCUUGAAAACUGCAUAGAGCUAGGUGAAAAAGCCAAAAAAGAAGACCGCAAG
rnacentral:tRNA from 1 species